rnacentral:rRNA from 1 species
AACGAACGCUGGCGGCAGGCCUAACACAUGCAGGUCGAACGCUGUAGCAAUACAGAGUGGCAGACGGGUGAGUAACGCGUGGGAACCUACCCUUUGGUUCGGAAUAGCUCAGGGAAACUUGAGGUAAUACCGGAUACGCCCUUCGGGGGAAAGAUUUAUCGCCAAAGGAUGGGCCCGCGUCGGAUUAGCUAGUUGGUGGGGUAAUGGCCUACCAAGGCGACGAUCCGUAGCUGGUCUGAGAGGAUGAUCAGCCACACUGGGACUGAGACACGGCCCAGACUCCUACGGGAGGCAGCAGUGGGGAAUAUUGGACAAUGGGCGCAAGCCUGAUCCAGCCAUGCCGCGUGAGUGACGAAGGUCUUCGGAUUGUAAAGCUCUUUUGGCGGGGAAGAUAAUGACGGUACCCGCAGAAUAAGCCCCGGCUAACUUCGUGCCAGCAGCCGCCGCAGUAA